CUUGCGGCCACAUCACGUUGAAACACCGGUUCCCGUAAAAUCACCGAAGUUAAGCAACAUCGAGCCUAGUCAGUACCUAGAUGGGUGAUCGCUGGGUAAAACUAGGUGCUGUAAG